CGCAUCUGUGCAUGCAGCAUAUCAAUAAGCGGAGGAAAAGAAACUAACAAGGAUUCCCCUAGUAACGGCGAGUGAAGCGGGAAGAGCUCAAAUUUGAAAUCUUAAAGGGUUUCCCUUUACGAAUUGUAGUUUAAAGAAGUGUUUUCUGUUGAGGUUUUCGGUAAAAGUUCUUUGGAAUAGGACAUCAUAGAGGGUGAGAAUCCCGUAUUUGACCUUUACUUUCAACUUUGUGAUACACUUUCAAAGAGUCGGAUUGUUUGGGAAUGCAGUCCAAAAUGGGUGGUAAAUUUCAUCUAAAGCUAAAUAUUGGCGAGAGACCGAUAGCGAACAAGUACCGUGAGGGAAAGAUGAAAAGAACUUUGAAAAGAGAGUUAAACAGUACGUGAAAUUGUCAAAAGGGAAGCGUUUGACACCAGUGUUGUUUUUCUGAAAAUCAGUUAAAGAACUGUUUAUGCUAAGCUGUUUAGACUUUAUCAGCUAUCUGUUUAGUUUUGAGCUUUUCUUUAAUGCACUUUUCAGUUAACAAGUCAACAUCAAUUUCUUUUGCUGUAAAAAAGCUUGAGGAAGGUGGCUUGAGAUUCGUCUUAAGUGUUUAUAGCCUCUUGCCUAUGCAGUCGGAGAGAUUGAGGUCUGCAGCGUAGAUCCUUCGGGGCUAAAUGCAUUUGUGCUAAGUUAUAGCAUUUUAUAGACAACUUGUUGACUAUGAUUUGUCUUGUAGCUUACUCGCUUAUGUUAUUUUACCUACGCUUAGGAUGUUGAAUCUGUGCGAGACUAC
rnacentral:rRNA from 1 species